rnacentral:lncRNA from 1 species
UGACACCCGAUGUCAUAGCAAUCUGAUAAGCUCUAGCCACUAUUGUUGAUCCAUAUUCACAAAGUAAUCAUAGACAGUAAUCUCAACAGUAUAGAGUAAAUUAGUGGGUGAAAGCGUUAGUUACUAACGGUCUUGUGCUCAACACGACAUUCAUUUAUUCAAACAGUGCAUACUCAUAUGUCGGACUAUCAACAUAUAUAUUUAUUAUCAAAGUAGUUGAUGAGACUAUAAUUUUGCAAUGCAAAAAAGCGAAUGAAAGUUGUGGCUUGCCUGGGAUGAUGAAACCACUGGGAAGAAGCACGAAAAACUCGCGGAAGGAAUUGUCGGAAACAGUUCUCUCUCAGAGGAGGGGCUGUUUACGGCAAGGGCAACAUGGUCAUUUCCACUAUGAGAUCACAUGGUGGAAAUGAUACCAUCUUAUUGGGCUCGACGAGACGAAGACGUGGGCUUUGGAAUCACCCGAAUCGGAGUUAUAGAUAAAAACAUAUGAAGGAUUUUCUGCCAGGGACUAAUCUGCAAUCAAAAUAUUUGCAUCCGGCUCCCUGGCAGCUGAAAUGCUUGCGGACUCAGGGAGAAUAUGUUUUCCCGCAGGGAAAACCGAAAUGCUAAGGGGCGCGUCCACUUAUCCAAGUCAGCAGCGGCGGGGCCGGCCUCUGAACCACUAACGCUUGGGGGCCGCGUUGACCUCGCCCUUUCUCUCUCUCCUCCCCCUAGCUUCUUCUCCUUCCUCGCGACAGGGACACCCGAGGCGCCAUGGCCAUCGGGCCGAGCUCGCCGCCGGUGCUGCGGGCCACCAGACGCAGGGCUCCGACCAUCGGCCUGCUCAGGACGACGAGGCGGAUCCAUCCCGAGGUGAGGCGAACGUCGGAGAGCUAGGAGACGACCGGGGCAUCGGGCGCGGCGGGCGCCGGAUUCGGCCGGAGUUGGGAGCGGCGCCCUAGUUACUCCGGGGCGAGGCGAGGAGAUGGGGAUGCUUGAGGGAGCGAGGGGAAUGCAGGGGUGAGGUCAAGGCGGAGGGGAAGAGACCCUGCCGGCCAGAUUUCUAGCCAAGGCCAGCGGUGGUCAUGGCAGCAAUUGUAGGCGAGGAGAGCUCCUCGAUCUUGGGCAGUAGGCUGGGAAGGAGCCUAGGAGGGAGAGGAGGUUGA